AUGAUUUAGUGUUCCUGAGAGAGGAUCGUACAAAGAGAGUACUCAUUAGAGGGGGCUCGGUCUGUCAGGUGCUGUUAUAUUAGGAUCAGAGAGGCAUCAUAAAAUGACUUUCAACCUGGUCCUGGCUGAUAAUUAAGUGUAUGGCAUCGCCUGCGUAUUGUGGAGAAGGCGCAACGCUGACUUAUGCAUCGGUUUAAUUAUCUGAGCUUGAAAGGCUCUGGUCCCUGUAUUCGCCUCCAUUGCCUGCGUGCUGUAUCUCUCCCCCAUAUUUCUGACAUUUGGAUUUUCCCCCUGCUAACUGACAUGCUGUCGCCUCCUUCUCCUGGUGUCCAUUUCUGGAACUGCUAUUUGUAUAUUGCAUGAUAUUUUAUCAGGGAAAAAAAUAAAACAGAUCCAAUUUCAUGAAAAUGCUGUUGCCAUAAAGCUCAGGAGACCAGGGGGAAGAGAGAGAUGCAAGUCUUCCUAAUGUCUACCUUAUAUGCAGGGUUCGAACUUUCACACCAGUCAAGAUUUUAUCAUUAUAUCCAGUGAACUCUAAUGGAGAUACGGUGGUUUCUGAUGUCUAGUCUCCAGUUCCUUUACACUAAGAAACUGGGGCUAAAAGCAGGAUGAAAGCCUCACAGCCACAUUUGGAGAAGGUGAAUGAGAUUCUGAUAUGCACAUCCCUGACACUGCAUAUUAAGGCGUGGUGAAUUGUCAUUUAUCUUCUACUCCCAGCCUGUGUUCUUGAUCCUACUGUAACCCUUAUUACUUACAAGAGAUGACAGCAAGAUCAGAAUUCUGUGGAGCUGAAAACUGGACCGUAGUUUGGUUGGAACAACAAUGAAAGACAGCAAGACGUGGUAAGCCGCACCAAAUGUGUCGUGACCAGCCAUGGGCUGAGCCAUGCCCUAAACUGAGGCUCUGGGCCCCAAAUGCAAGGGCCUCCUCAGGGAAAAACUUCUGCUGUGCUCAGUUUAUGGUUAGAGAAAGAAACUGGGAACAUUUUCCCAUGCAGAACCCAGCCAGAGCCAGCAUGACGGGCUCUCCCUUCCACUCGUGAGUCCCACCACCCACCUGCGGUGGGUGUGAAGGCUCCUCUGUGUGGACUCAACACCACUGACCGGGACAGGUGCAGUGCUGUGGGCCAGAGCUACAGAGCUUGGCCCGCUUUGGGCUCGAAUGUGGCCCCUGCAUAUUUGGUGCACAUCAGCACGCAUGGCCGGCCCUCACGAGAGAAACGCCAUGAACCAGCUAACCCACUCUACCACCUUCCUGUCCUAAUGGUGACCUCUAGGGUUUGCACAGCAAGCAAAGCAAGUCUCCUGAUCCUCUGCAAGCCAGGCGCCAUGCAUUUAGUUAGCAAGCAGUUUGCGACUUAGGUAUUCUUUAGCUGGAGAGAUUGAGAUCCUUGCAGGGACUUAAGAAAGAACAUGGCCUUCUGGAAGCGAUGUUUCAUCAUCAUGGCACAAAUCAGCAAAGUGACUCAAAUGGAAGGACUUCAGGGCCAAGGAGAGGAUCCUAACACUGGAAUCAAGCAGGGGAGAGACAGUUUUGGGCCAAUCUCAUUUUGUUCUUUGACUCCUCAGAUAUUAGCAAAGGGUAUGGUGCAGAACUGAGGAGGAAGUGGAAACUUAUCAUAGUUCCCUUAUACUUACUGAGCACCCACUGUGUGCCAGAUGCUUUGCUCUAUGUUGAGGUAUACUUCACUGUAAUAACCUGCUAUGGUAUGUAAUGUUAUUAUCACCAAUUUACAGAUAAGGAAACUGAGGCACAGAGAGGCUGAGUAAUCGCCCAAAGCUAGUGGCUGGUGAGGCUGGGAUUUGAAUCCAAGAAGGCUGACUUCAAAGCUCCUUUUCUGUGGUGGGCUCUGUGUGUGGCCCUCCGUUAUCCAUUGCUUCUUAGUAACAGAACACCCAUUGCUUCUUAGAGUGAAAGACAUUUUUCAGCUUCCUUACAACUCGAUGUCUCUAUAUGAAUAAGUUUUGCCCUCUGCAGUAUAAGUGGUACAGUUUUGCAGGAACACUAGAAAGUUUCUUGAACAAGGAGGGACUUAUUUUUCCUUCUCCAUGUUCCUUUUUGGAACAUGGAUGUGAUUGUUGGAGCUCCAGAAGCCAUUUUGGACCAAGAGGUAGCCUUGGGAAAGCCAGAUUGGAGAGUUGGAAAGAGCCCAGGUCACUGAUGACAUCACAGAUCUGCCUUUCCAGCUUUGAUUAGUGUACCUCCUGGGACUUGGGAUAGAAAUAAACUCUCAUCUUAUUUAAACCGUUGCAAUCUAGUUUCUCUCAUAAGUGGGUAAAUCUUUCCUAACAAACUUUAUAUCCAGAUACCAUGCUUUCAUGAUUACCUGCUUUAAUCC